CCGUGCAAGCCAGAUGAUCCAGUUCAUCCUGCUGAUCAGCCGGCAGGGGAAGACCCGGCUGAAGCAGUGGUUUGUGCCAUGCUUGGAGCGGGACCAGUUCAGGACGAUCAAGGAGGUGAGCAGCCUCAUUCUCAGCCGCUCGC
rnacentral:SRP_RNA from 1 species